GAUGAAGAACGUAGCGAAAUGCGAUAAGUAAUGUGAAUUGCAGAAUUCAGUGAAUCAUCGAAUCUUUGAACGCACAUUGCGCCCGCCAGUAUUCUGGCGGGCAUGCCUGUCUGAGCGUCAUUUCAACCCUCAGCCCCCGCUCGCGGGGCGCUGGCGUUGGGGAUCGGCCGUCCUCGCGGCGGCCGGCCCCGAAACACAGUGGCGGUCUCUCGCGGACUCCCCUGCGUAGUAGCCCUACCUCGCAGAAGGGACGAGCGGGCUGACCACGCCGUAAAACCCCCCACUUCUCCAGGUUGACCUCAGAUCAGGUAGGAAUACCCGCUGAACUUAAGCAUAUCAAUAAGCGGAGGA
rnacentral:misc_RNA from 1 species